rnacentral:rRNA from 1 species
CACGUGAGGGUGCGAGCGUUGUCCGGAAUUAUUGGGCGUAAAGAGCUCGUAGGCGGUGUGUCGCGUCGGCCGUGAAAACCUGCAGCUUAACUGUGGCGUGCGGUCGAUACGGGCAUCACUGGAGUUCGGCAGGGGAGACUGGAAUUUACGGUGUAGCGGUGAAAUGCGUAGAUAUCGUAAGGAAGACCAGUGGCGAAGGCGGGUCUCUGGACAGUUCCUGACGCUGAGGCACGAAGGUCAGGGGAGCAAACGGG